rnacentral:rRNA from 1 species
GAUGAACGCUGGCGGCGUGCCUAAUACAUGCAAGUCGAGCGAACGGACGAGAAGCUUGCUUCUCUGAUGUUAGCGGCGGACGGGUGAGUAACACGUGGAUAACCUACCUAUAAGACUGGGAUAACUUCGGGAAACCGGAGCUAAUACCGGAUGAUAUUUUGAACCGCAUGGUUCAAAAGUGAAAGACGGUCUUGCUGUCACUUAUAGAUGGAUCCGCGCUGCAUUAGCUAGUUGGUAAGGUAACGGCUUACCAAGGCAACGAUGCAUAGCCGACCUGAGAGGGUGAUCGGCCACACUGGAACUGAGACACGGUCCAGACUCCUACGGGAGGCAGCUGUAGGGAAUCUUCCGCAAUGGGCGAAAGCCUGACGGAGCAACGCCGCGUGAGUGAUGAAGGUCUUCGGAUCGUAAAACUCUGUUAUUAGGGAAGAACAUAUGUGUAAGUAACUGUGCACAUCUUGACGGUACCUAAUCAGAAAGCCACGGCUAACUACGUG